GUCUAAGGCCAUGCUACCCUGAAUAAGCCCAAUUCCAUCUGAUUUCGGAAGCUCUGCAGGGUUGGGCCUGGUUAGAACUUGAAUGGAAGACCACAUAGGAAGCCCAGGUGCUAUAGGCA
rnacentral:rRNA from 1 species